CGCAGCCGCGGUAAUUCCAGCUCCAAUAGCGUAUAUUAAAGUUGUUGCAGUUAAAAAGCUCGUAGUUGAAUUUCGGGGUCAGUAGGCUGGUCGUGCCACAGGUAUGUACUGAUCUCACUGAUUCCUCCUUCCUGAUGAACCGUAAUGCCAUUAAUUUGGUGUUGCGGGGAAACUGGACUGUUACUCUGAAAAAAUUAGAGUGUUUAAAGCAGGCUAACGCUUGAAUACAUUAGCAUGGAAUAAUGAAAUAGGACGUUCGAUCCUAUUUUGUUGGUUUCUAGGAUUGACGUAAUGAUUAAUAGGGAUAGUUGGGGGCAUUAGUAUUCAAUUGUCAGAGGUGAAAUUCUUGGAUUUAUUGAAGACUAACUACUGCGAAAGCAUUUGCCAAGGAUGUUUUCAUUAAUCAGUGAACGAAAGUUAGGGGAUCGAAGACGAUCAGAUACCGUCGUAGUCUUAACCGUAAACUAUGCCGACUAGGGAUCGGGCGAUGUUAUUCUUUUGACUCGCUCGGCUAACCG
rnacentral:rRNA from 1 species